UCUGAGUUACUACAGAAAAUUCUUUCCCAGAUGUCUGGCUGUUGGGUCUCGCCCACAUGCUCAGCAUCUAACUGAUUGAUAUAUUUGGGGGAUGGGA